AAAUUGAAGAGUUUGAUCAUGGCUCAGAUUGAACGCUGGCGGCAGGCCUAACACAUGCAAGUCGAACGGUAGCACAGAGAGCUUGCUCUCGGGUGACGAGUGGCGGACGGGUGAGUAAUGUCUGGGAAACUGCCUGAUGGAGGGGGAUAACUACUGGAAACGGUGGCUAAUACCGCAUAACGUCGCAAGACCAAAGAGGGGGACCUUCGGGCCUCUUGCCAUCAGAUGUGCCCAGAUGGGAUUAGCUUGUUGGUGAGGUAACGGCUUACCAAGGCGACGAUCCCUAGCUGGUCUGAGAGGAUGACCAGCCACACUGGAACUGAGACACGGUCCAGACUCCUACGGGAGGCAGCAGUGGGGAAUAUUGCACAAUGGGCGCAAGCCUGAUGCAGCCAUGCC
rnacentral:rRNA from 1 species